rnacentral:tRNA from 1 species
GGGCCUGUAGCUCAGGCGGUUAGAGCGCACGCCUGAUAAGCGUGAGGUCGGUGGUUCGAGUCCACCCAGGCCCA